UUGUUCAGCAAAACUGUGUGGGAAGCAAUGCUAGCUAAGCCUUUCCGAAGACAGAAACUCAUUAGAACCACUGAAAGCACAGCAAGAAGUCACUUUGUGGAUUGAUUUGGCACGACAAGCCAAGUAUUGACAAAUACCUUAACAACGUCGAAAGUAGCCUACUUUAAGAGGAAAUAUGCAGAAGAAGAAGAUUUACAUCAAGAUUACCCAGGGUAUUUUCCAAAACACCUGAUAUUACCUGAAGAUCGGACUUGUAUUUUGAAACUGUCUCUGCAGAAGCUCCAGUUUCUUGAAGAUCCUGAGCUCUAUCUCCGCCGCUCAGUCCUGAUUAAUAACUUGUUGCGGAAAAUUCAUCUGGAAACUGAGCGCGAACGCUAUGAGUAUCUUAAGGAAAGCUCAUGCUGUAGGACUGCCUAUUCGGAUACAAGAAAACGGCUGAAGUUUAUGGUACAAGAAUGUCGUUCUCAGUCCCUUUAUUACAAAGAACUGCAUUCGUAUCAUAUUGUGCCUUAUUCUCCGGAGAAUGCCAUUUAUGGAGUGGGCUAUUCAAGUGGCCACUUGGAGCAAAAUUCUCAAUUGCUUAUUUAUAAAAUGAAAUGAGGGGUUAUUGUUGUUUUUAAAAGACAUGGAUUAAUUUGUUUCUGGAUGCCUGGAUGCUCAAGUGAUGCAUUAUUGUGCAAACAUGGGCGAGAUCAAUGGCUCAAGUCACUUUCAGCUCUAUUUCAGAAUGCUUCGGUGGUAGCAUUUAAGACUUGAGGCUGCUUGGUUGCACAACGAUGGUGCCCAUAUGAAAACAGUGCAACCUAGAAUUUCUAAUAAGCUGUGAUCCCUAAGGGUGAAGUGCUUGUUGGCUGUCCAGUUUUCUAUAUGUAUAUAUUCAGACUAACUUUAACUGCUAAGUUAUACCACCUUUCCUUAGAAAUGUAGACUGAUAAUAAAGGGAUAAUACACUGGCAAGUCUAAAGUGAAGGUUAAAGAAGGUGGAUAGCUUCUUCUCAAAAAAAUCUAAAAAGACUCAUAGUCAUUAAAAAUAUUGAUUCAUUUAUACCACCCCUCUUUUUGAAAUAUUCAACAGCAUUAAUCAUCUAGAUUUAAUCAUACGUAUAUUUGCUAGCAUGCUUGGUUUCUGUUGAAGUCAGUGGUGAUUUUAAUAAAAUUCAGUGAUAUUGACAGCUAGAAAUUAAUAAUUGGGAUGAGCUGGGGAGCCACAUUCAUUUACUCUCUUAGACUUGGCCAGAAUCCUCUCACUGGAUCUGUGUUAUACUGAUUUGGCUCUAGGAAUGCAGAAUACCCAUCAUAAAGGUGGAAACAGCAUCUUAAAAAAAAAAAAAAGCCUAUCACCCCAGUGUAAUUGUAAGAAAGUUUUCUGAUUUAGCACUCAUAGUCAGGAGCAAAAUAUUAAAACAAGUGGGACCAAAAUAUACAUUUAAAAAAAGUUUAUAUGUAUAUGUUGACCUGAGGCAUGCUUUUUUAGUAUCAGAUUAUAGUCUUUUGGAUUUCAUUCCUUGGGAGAUGAAUAUUCACAUUUGUGGUCCCUCUCCCUAUCCUUUCUUCAUUCAGCAGCCUAAUUUCAUUGGUAGAAAAUACUCUGGUGGCACACUUUGGUUAAACCACUAGUUGUUCAGAAAUCCACCAGCAGAUCUAUUGAAAUAUCUCCAUCUAAUGUCUGCUUGUCCCUGGCCUAACACAAUCAGUAUUAAUAUUUUUUGGCCUAUUGUUAUAUGUAUGUCAAGUGUUUAUGAUUUGGGGAGAUCAGAUGUCGAACUUAUCAGAGACAACAAAUCAGUGAAAUGUCUUUAAUUAGUUUUGAAAGUACCUUAUAAGGAGGAGAGAUGAUGGCUUGAUGAAGAUCACUGAAAAAGUUGCAGGUGCCAAUGUUCUCUUCAAAAAAUGCCAAAGAGAAAUACUAGGCAGGUGUGUGCAAAAAAAGAGCCUGCUUCCAAAGCUAAGGUGUUGUCUGUUAUUGAAAGGAAACCCUGAUAGCUCUUUUAUUGCAAGCCAUGGUCAUUCCCCCCGCCCAAGAAUUCUUAGGAACUACAUUCAGUGUGAUAUUUUACUAAUGGAUCUCGAUCCAUGGCUAAACCACAAUUUUCAGAGUUUCAAGGGAAGAGUGUGUCACUGUGGAAGCCUGUUACAACCUGAGUGAGCUUUGCUCUUAGACACUGAGUUUUGCAUUACAGUACUGUGACAUUAUUAAUAGAUUAAUAUUCUUAUGGAGAAUGGCCAAGCCUAGAAAGAGAAGUACCUGUCCAGUAAUGAAUAUCUUGUUUUCCUUUCAUACGGCUUUACAAUGCCAUCUAAAAUGGCAGACUUUUACCUAUCAGAUCCUGAAAAAGGGAAACGGAUAGAUGGAAAACAAUUCUAGAUAACAGCUUCUCAUUUGCCUUGUUAUCACUUGAUAGCCCUUUUCAUGAUAGCCUUUUGUCAGUAUACUAGUCCUUCUUAACAAACAGCAUCCCGCUUCUUUCAGGGCAGGAAUUUCCAAUUUGUUCACAUAAUCAAUUUACACCAGUGGUGGGAUUCAGCCAGUUUGCACCUAUUUGGGAGAACCGGUUGUUAACUUUCUAAGGAGUUCG